UGGAGUGGCUAAGGAUGGGCCAGCCACGUCUGGAGUGGCUAAGGAUGGGCCAGCCACAUCUGUUAUGGCCAAGGAGGGGCUGGCCACACUGGUUCUCUUAAGGAGCUUGAUAUUUACAAAGAACUAACUGCAGAUAAAAUGAUGAAACGUUGUCUGAAAGGCAGGACACAGAAUCCUAAUGAAAGGCUCCAUCACCGAAUUUGGUCCUACUGCAACAAGGCACUGAAUCGAAACAAGUGGCAGGCUGAUUUCUCAGCCAGUCAAGCCAUAGCCGAGUAUAAUGCUGGAUAUGAGAGAAGUUGUAUCGAUAUACCACUUGGCUUUGGGCGUUCAUUGUUUACCCAAAGGAAGCUUCAAGCUAUGGACAAGAGGAUGCAGAGAAAAAAAAAAAAAUCCAAGAGGAGGAGACUUACGAUAGAUACUUCCUAUUAGCCUGGAGGACAUUAGAUGAUCAUUGGUGUCCUUACCAACACCUACUCAAAGUUGGGAUGCAUGGAGCAUUGUGAUUGGCCGAUCUCCAGGGAACUUCAGGAUGCAGGGAUCUGCAUGGUACUUAAAGGAUAUACUCUAUACACUUGUUUCUACUAUCAAUAAACAUAAGAAGGCA